UACAGAGGUGGCAAGCGUUGUUCGGAAUUACUGGGCGUAAAGGGCGCGUAGGCGGUUCGUUAAGUCCUGUGUGAAAUCCCCCGGCUCAACUGGGGAACUGCACAGGAAACUAGCGGGCUUGAGUUCGGGAGAGGGAAGCGGAAUUCCGGGUGUAGCGGUGAAAUGCGUAGAUAUCUGGAGGAACACCGGUGGCGAAGGCGGCAUCCUGGACCGGUAUUGACACUGAGGCGCGAAAGCCAGGGGAGCAAACGGG
rnacentral:rRNA from 1 species